CAGUCGCCGCGGGAAUACAGAGGGUGCAAGCGUUAAUCGGAAUUACUGGGCGUAAAGCGCGCGUAGGUGGUUUGUUAAGUUGGAUGUGAAAUCCCCGGGCUCAACCUGGGAACUGCAUCCAAAACUGGCAAGCUAGAGUAUGGUAGAGGGUGGUGGAAUUUCCUGUGUAGCGGUGAAAUGCGUAGAUAUAGGAAGGAACACCAGUGGCGAAGGCGACCACCUGGACUGAUACUGACACUGAGGUGCGAAAGCGUGGGGAGCAAACAGGAUUAGAGACCCCCGUAGUCCCUGUCUCUUAACC
rnacentral:rRNA from 1 species